rnacentral:rRNA from 1 species
GACGAACGCUGGCGGCGUGCUUAACACAUGCAAGUCGAACGGAAAGGCCCUGCUUGCAGGGUCCUCGAGUGGCGAACGGGUGAGUAACACGUGGGUGAUCUGCCCUGCACUUCGGGAUAAGCCUGGGAAACUGGGUCUAAUACCGGAUAGGAGCCAUUUUUAGUGUGAUGGUUGGAAAGUUUUUUCGGUGUAGGAUGAGCUCGCGGCCUAUCAGCUUGUUGGUGGGGUAAUGGCCUACCAAGGCGGCGACGGGUAGCCGGCCUGGGAGGGUGGACGGCCACAUUGGGACUGAGAUACGGCCCAGACGCCUACGGGAGGCAGCAGUGGGGAAUAUUGCACAAUGGGCGCAAGCCUGAUGCAGCGACGCCGCGUGGGGGAUGACGGCCUUCGGGUUGGAAACUCCUUUCGCUAGGGACGAAGCUUUUUGUGACGGUACCUAGAUAAGAAGCACCGGCUAACUACGUG